rnacentral:rRNA from 1 species
AACGAACGCUGGCGGCAGGCCUAACACAUGCAAGUCGAGCGAGGACUUCGGUCCUAGCGGCGGACGGGUGAGUAACGCGUGGGAACGUGCCCUUUGCUUCGGAAUAGCCCUGGGAAACUGGGAGUAAUACCGGAUGAGCCCUUUGGGGGAAGGAUUUAUCGGCGCAGGAGCGGCCCUCGUGGGAUUAGGUAGUUGGUGGGGUAAUGGCCUACCAAGCCGACGAUCCAUAGCUGGGUAGAGAGGAUGAUCAGCCACACUGGGACGGAGACACGGCCCAGACUCCUACGGGAGGCGGCAGUGGGGAAUCGUGGAAAAUGGGGGAAACGCUGAUCGAGCCCUGCUGCGUGAGCGCUGAUGGCCUUAGGGUUGUAAAGCUCUUGCAGCUGGGAAGAUAAUGACGGUACCAUCAGAAGAAGCCCCGGCUAACUCCGUG